rnacentral:rRNA from 1 species
ACGGCAGCAUGAUCUAGCUUGCUAGAUUGAUGGCGAGUGGCGAACGGGUGAGUAAUACAUCGGAACGUGCCCUGUAGUGGGGGAUAACUAGUCGAAAGAUUAGCUGAUACCGCAUACGACCUGAGGGUGAAAGUGGGGGACCGCAAGGCCUCAUGCUAUAGGAGCGGCCGAUGUCUGAUUAGCUAGUUGGUGAGGUAAAGGCUCACCAAGGCGACGAUCAGUAGCUGGUCUGAGAGGACGAUCAGCCACACUGGGACUGAGACACGGCCCAGACUCCUACGGGAGGCAGCAGUGGGGAAUUUUGGACAAUGGGCGAAAGCCUGAUCCAGCAAUGCCGCGUGUGUGAAGAAGGCCUUCGGGUUGUAAAGCACUUUUGUCCGGAAAGAAAUGGCUCUGGUUAAUACCUGGGGUCGAUGACGGUACCGGAAGAAUAAGGACCGGCUAACUACGUGCCAGCAGCCGCGGUAAUACGUAGGGUCCAAGCGUUAAUCGGAAUUACUGGGCGUAAAGCGUGCGCAGGCGGUUGUGCAAGACCGAUGUGAAAUCCCCGAGCUUAACUUGGGAAUUGCAUUGGUGACUGCACGGCUAGAGUGUGUCA